GGGCGCAAGCCUGAUGCAGCCAUGCCGCGUGUGUGAAGAAGGCCUUCGGGUUGUAAAGCACUUUCAGUCGUGAGGAAGGUGGUAGUGUUAAUAGCACUAUCAUUUGACGUUAGCGACAGAAGAAGCACCGGCUAACUCCGUGCCAGCAGCCGCGGUAAUACGGAGGGUGCGAGCGUUAAUCGGAAUUACUGGGCGUAAAGCGCAUGCAGGUGGUUUGUUAAGUCAGAUGUGAAAGCCCGGGGCUCAACCUCGGAAUAGCAUUUGAAACUGGCAGACUAGAGUACUGUAGAGGGGGGUAGAAUUUCAGGUGUAGCGGUGAAAUGCGUAGAGAUCUGAAGGAAUACCGGUGGCGAAGGCGGCCCCCUGGACAGAUACUGACACUCAGAUGCGAAAGCGUGGGGAGCAAACAGGAUUAGAUACCCUGGUAGUCCACGCCGUAAACGAUGUCUACUUGGAGGUUGUGGCCUUGAGCCGUGGCUUUCGGAGCUAACGCGUUAAGUAGACCGCCUGGG
rnacentral:rRNA from 1 species